rnacentral:tRNA from 1 species
GCCUGGGUGGCUCAGUCGGUUAAGUGUCUGACUUUGGCUCAGGUCCUGAUCUCACAGUUCGUGGGUUCGAGUCCUGCAUCGGGCU